rnacentral:sRNA from 14 species
GUAUACAUAGAAACUUUCAUGACAAAGCAAGUCCUUGAUCACCAGGGUUGAUAAAGCUCAUCUCGCUGGCUAAGUGUGUGUCCCCUUCCUACCUCUCCGCUCCAUGUGUGUCUCUCGUGAAGCUACGCCCUCAGUCGAAGAGGAUGACCUUCCCACAUACAGGUGGUACCGUUCAUUGGUUCAUCGGUCAUGGGUAUACGGUAGCUGGGGAUGGACUCUUCAUUAGGGACUGUAGUGACAGGACAAGGGGUAACAGGUUAAAACUUAAACAGGGGAAGCUUAGAUUGGAUAUAAAGAAGAGAUCCUUUACUG